rnacentral:tmRNA from 1 species
UUUUAAUGCGGCCCGGAAAGACCUAUAUGACGAGGUGCCGGUCUUCGGACCGGCUAUGGCAAUAAACGGUCGGUGUAAUAAACCUAUUGGACCCGGGGGCGGUACCCGGCGCCUCCACCAGGAACCGGCGGACCUUCUAUUUGGAAGGCCGGCUGCUGAUGGGGGCGAAAUAGGAUCGACAAGGGCGUAAAGAUCGAACUUUUGCUCGGCAUGAUACCGCCGUUAUCGGGUCACAAGUGUAGUUGCAAACGACAACAACGCUAAGGGUUAUGCUCUCGCUGCCUAAUGGCGGUGCGGGAAACCCGACCUAAGUCCUUAUGGUUAGCACCGUAAGGCGGGGUCCGAAGGCACCUGGCAACAGAAGCCUUC